GGCUGAUAUUGCUGCUAAAUGUACCUUCAGAGACAAGUUUGCCAGUCACAAUCUUUUAAUGUAGGUACGUAUUCAAAUAUCAAAGGCAAAUUACAUGUAAUAGGGUGACAGCAUUCAUUAGGACUAAAUACAGCCGUUGAUCAGCAGUAACACCAGUGCUGAAGCAGUAGUCAGAAGAAGGCGGGGAAAAGAUGACCACUGUGUAGGCAGUGAAUAUGAAUGUUGGCAUCUAGGUGACUGAUUCUGACAACCUGAACUCUGUGUGGAUGAUGACCAAUCACUACAGGAUCAGUGCUGCAUUUCCUGGGGAGAUUUCUCCCUACUCCUUGGUGAUCUACUAGGCCCGUCAUUGUUUGGUGGACCAACAAUCCCCUCAGACAGCCUUGACUUCUUUUUGGCCAAUUUUUGUAGUAAGAGAAAGGGACGAAACUCACCCCGGGCCUGAUUAAUCGCACUCAACUGGCUUGGUCCCUGGUACAGAAACCACUAAUGUGGUCUUUGAACUCCUACUAACCUUAGCUGAAGCGUCGGCGGCCAAGGAUUGUUUGUACAGUGCUCCUUUUAGCUGAGAAGCGUGCACAUUUUGAGCCAUCAGUCAGCAGCAAACAAGCUAAAACUACCUCCUCUUCACACAGCAACAAAAAGAGAGGACCAUUCUCUUCACACAGCAACAAAAAGAGAACUGAGGGGAGCAUUCUCUCCACCCUCCCAUACCCUGUGACUCUUUAUAUGGGAAAUCUUCCUGCCUCUUGGUCGGGGAAGGGGGAGGGAGAGUUUGGAAGAGUUCUAGCAAGUUAUUUUAAGAGGAACUGGCUAAUCUUCUCUGUGGCAGGUCUGCACAUGGCCAGAUCUAUGUGGAUCUGCACAGGAGGCCAUGAAUAGGAAUCAUAGCUAUAACUAUAUAAGCAAAGUUGUAAGGUUAGCACAACAUUCCUCCAUAUUAUGUUCCUGGGAAAGGGACUUUCCAUUUCAUUAUAUUCUUGGGAAAGGGUCUUAUCUUGAACUCGAUUGGUUGCUGAACAACUGAACUGCAAUCUGCAUAAAUUCUGUACAAUCAUACUCAUCAUGUUUUCCCUUGUUAGUAAUGAUUUUAUUAAGUUUUUAAACAACUACACAACUAAAACUAUGCAUAUAAGUGUAUGGUGAUCCAGUCACCUUAACACUGAAAAACUGCUUACGCAACAAUAUCAGAAAAAACAAAAACAGAACUACUUGACUUCCUGCUCAGGACCCAUUGCAGAAUCUAUCUUUAAUAACAUGUUGUAACCUUUGGUAUCCAGAGCAGCAGUUUAACAAAAGAAAACUGUUUUGAAUUUUCUAUCCUUUUCAUAUAGAAAACAUACAUAUCCCUCAGAUUUCAACCAUGUGAACCUUAUUUGUUUCUUCUUCAGAGAAGUCACUAAAAUUUGCUUUUGCAGGGCUCUUAAAGUAAUUUUCUUCAUGAUAAUAAUGUUUUUGUCAUCCAUCUUAAAUUUGAACUUUUAGUGGGCCUCCAUAAUUUGAUCUACAGUAUCUUUUGUAUAGAUGAAGACAACAAUAUCUCUACACAAUCCCUGUGACCUUGAGUUUUGAAGUUUACUCUGUAUAUUUUUUCAAUCUUUUCAGCCAUCUCUUCUUCUUGUAUCAUCAAAAAUUUGGCCAGAACCAAGGAGAGCAUAUUUUUAAGAUUCUCUUUUAAAGGGUCUUGAAUUUCUGGAAUUUUUCUCAUUCUACGAGACUUUUCUUUCAUCUGACAUUCCAAUCAAAGAAUGACUUGUUCACGUUCCAUUUGAAGUGAAUAAAUUCUUUUUAAAAAUUUUAAUUUAUUACUUUACUGCCUUUAAAUCUCCCUCCAAUUGUCCAAUUUUCUUAAGAUUAUUCUUCACUACUUUAAUAGCUUUUAAUAAUUCAGCCAUCAUUGCUAGUAUGUUUUGAACACUACUUUUUAUUGUCUGUUUCCAACUGUAGACUUUGUACAUUUGUAUUCAUGGUUCUAAUUAUUUGAAAGCUCUUGGUAAUCCUCUUGGAAGGAUCCCUUUUUAGCAGUAGCCAUUUUGAACUGCUGGAACCACUAGAUGUCACUGUGCAACAAAUCUCCACAUUUAUAGUGGUGUAUAACUGAAGUUGUCCAUUCUGUUAUGUCCUCUUCUAUGAUUCAGCAUAACUUCCUUUCUUAGUAUUGUUUCUUUUACAGUCUUCUAAACCAAUCUCAGGCUGGCAUCUCACCAGCUCCAAAGAACAAAGGAAGUCAGCAUUUUAGUGUCACAAAACACAAAGCAGCUAUUUCUCUCUAAUACCUUUAUUUCCAGGUCUCUACUUGCUUCUUUUUGUUUAACUUUUUUUCAUUUUUAAACUUUUUAUUUACUGUGAGUCCAUACCCUUUAAAGAUGUCUUCAAGUUUUUGCUGGACUUAUCUGCAACAGAUUCUGAACUUCUCUAAUUGCUUUCUAAUUUAUUUUCAUUUCUUCAUGUAAGGUGCAAGACUUGGGAUGUUGUCUUCUGAGGGAAAAGCGAAAUCUCCAGCAGGAAAUGGUGUUGGUGCUGCUGACUCAACUUCUCUACCCCAGCAAAUCACUAUGCCCUUUUCAUGUAUUUGGUACAGAAAUAUUAACAUUAACCAACUUGAUACCAAAACCCAGAAACCAAUGGCAAUGCCUUCCUUCCUUGGAAAGCAGGAGACCUCACACUCCUUUGAAACCAAAGAUGUCAAUCAGCAAGGCAGUCCCAAGAGGAGUUCUGUGGGCAUAAGAACAUAAGAAGUGCCCAACCAAUUAUUCUGGAGGAUCAACAACACCGCACAGAAGACAAGAAUUUUCUCUGAUAUUGCCUGAUGGCACCAGUAUUCAGUGGCUGACUGCCUCUGAACGUGGAAGCUCCCCUCUAGUCACCAUCGCUAAUAGCUACUGAUAAGAUCUAUCCUCCAUAAAUCUGUUUAAUCCGUUUUUAAGAAGUCUAUGCUGGUGGCCAGCACCACAUCCUCUGGAAGCGAAUUCCACAUUUUAAUUGGAAGCCCCAAAGCACUUCUAUAUUGCAAAUCAAGUCUUCCUCACUCUAGCUGCUGUUGGCUCACCAUCUGGUUCGCUUCUUGCCAGGAUUCACUCCCAAAUUACUAUUUUUUUAUUACUAAAAUCAGAUUUUUCUACAAGCCUUAAGCUCCACAGAGAACAUGUGACAUCAUAACAGCUGGCCCUGUGGUGUGUAUUUGGCUGUUCAUAUGGGCCUGGCCCUUUACUGUCAAAUAUAGGCUUGGGUCCACUGGAGCAUUUUUGUGGGUGGAUUUCUCCCCUCCCCACCCCCAUAAUGUGACUUGUUCACUUCUCCCUUCCUCUUGCAGCCCAAACGGUCUAAUAAAUCCAAGUCACAAUGAUUAUAGAAGCAAUACAAUAAAGCAAGUGCAGAUCACAAAAGCACUUUCAGAUGCAGGUGCUUUUUUCUAAAAUCAGAACCAAACAUCUUACUAAUGUGGCUAAUCAGACAGAGUUAGCUUUUUAAAUUCUUUUUUUUAAAGUCCCACUUCAAAAAGCCAGACAUGGAUCAGUUCCAGUCUGCUUCUCUUGGUUCUACGGCAGUCCCCGCCAGCUAUUAUUUAACUGAAGAAUUCAGCUUUGAAGACAAUUUUUGGCUGUCUGUUAAGUAAUGAGAUACAGUAGGCAACAGCUGGUUUUGAGCUUAGUUGAAAAUACAAGCAUGAUGGAGGAGCAAACUGUGCGGAAAGAUCCUCCACCCUGGGGAAGCCAAUCUGACGGGCAACAUUUGACAUCAUCACAGGAAACCCAGACAGUCUGUUUCAUAUCUGACAUCAUUUUGCUGAUAUCGCAAAGCUGCCCUCCUUCAACAUGCAACUAAUCCAACUGCCUGCCACUAAACUACAUCUUUGUGAAGCAGAUAUUUGCUGUCAACCCAAACACCAGAUCAAAACCACAUCUGACAAGAAGACAAAAUGAGAUGGAAGUUGAGAGCAUGAUUUCCUACCUAUCCCACAUACCUCCAAGUUGGCCCUGAAUGUGUCCUCUAAAAGCUCAUUUCCAAACCAAUCCCUGUUCCCAUUAAAUCACUGCAUUCUUUCUAUCCCAGAACAAACUUCUGUAAAAUUAGAACAACAGUCUCUGAGCUUCAGAAGAGUUCUGUUCAUCAUCACACUACCAGGUAGUCAUAUACAACUACUUCAGAACCUUUGUUGGGCCAAGGCAGAACAUGAACACUGUUCAGCACUGGAAACACCUUUAAUUGGUUGUAUUUGGGUCCAUAUUUCUAGCUUUGAACCUCAUAUCUGUGUUCUGCAACUGCCAAGUGUGGCCAAGCUGCAGUGAAAAAACUCGGCUGUUAAUGUUCUCUCACCUGACUUUUCUAUGUGGCUCUGCACACAGAGCAUGUGCCAAAUAUGAAAGUAGACUGAUUUAAAACAUAUCCCUGCCUUGCUAUGUAAUACAGAUCUUUAUGGGUGGUGAAUUAGAUUUGCAUCCAUCUAAGCAGUGGUUGUAAGUAUCCAGAAUAAUCUCCCUUCCUCACAGACAAAAGCUAAAAAAAUCCAUUCAAUUCACCCUGUAGCCAAAAGCAAUAACAAACAGAGGAGGACUAAUUUUAUUUCCAACAGACUGGAUGUCCCAAUUAAGUUUUAUAUCAAUAAGCAGCACUGGUUGGCUCAUGUAAAUAAUCUUAAAGAUUAAAAAGCCACACAUAAGAAUUUAACAUGAUUCUUUUGACACCAACAAUCUGACCUCAAGCUCCAUUCACAGCCUAAAUUUCAGAAGAGUUGAUUCUCUUCCUUGAGUACCAUUUAAGAAACCGACAGUUAUUAACCAGCAAGAAUGAGCUCACUAACUGUCUCCCAUAAUGAAAUAACUGUUUCAGCAUUCCUAAGAUAACAUGUUGGGCUAUAUGUUGUCGUACAUAAUUGCUACUUUAGAUUAACUCCAAUACAGCAGCAUAGACCAAUGCCUACUGCAUCACAACAGCAGCAACUCAAACAGAAUGACUAUAAUGUGGUCUGACAGUGAUUUAUAGGGUUAACCAUCAUCUUAUCACUUAAUCUGUUAACUGUUGUUCCAAUCAACAUAACUGUCAGGACAAGCUUACUUUAAACAAAUCCGUGAUCACUAAUCUGUAUGUACAAUAAAUAUUUCCCUUCCCCAACACAGCUGCUCUUCAUGCAUGCCUCUACUACCAGAAACUACUUCAGCAUGCCAGAAAAAUGGUAUUUAGAAUUUUUUAAAUGAUUAUAACAAUCCUAAGAAUCGAAAAGUUUCCAUGGUAUAAUUUUGAAAAGGGAGAAGCUAGCCAGAAUGUUCACAAAGAUGGAGAAAGAAAAAAAACACCAUUGGCUUGUAUCUUCUUUAAGAGAGAAGGGGACUGAAGAUUCUCACAAGUUACCUGGCAUCCUAAGUGCUUCCAGAAGUUGAAGGAAAUAGCUAUUGUUUUAUCUGAAAAUUAAUGUUCAUGGGAUGUACAUGCUCAAGUACAUACCUUACUAUCCAGUUUUUUCAUGGUUACCAAAUCCAAGGACUUAAGUGA